rnacentral:lncRNA from 1 species
UAUCAAACUUUGACUCACUUUUCAAUUGAUUAAAUACACAAAGAUACCUUAUGUAAUAGGCCCAAAUGGCCCAGGUCCUACAAAUGAUAAAACAAAUACACUAGUAGGCCCAAUAAAUAACCCAAGCCCGAAACUAAUGGAAAAGGGGAAAGGUUGGGAAACCCUAGCAGCAAGUAGCGCCGCAAGCCCCCACCUCGAGCAAGCGUCCAGUCGCCGCAGGACUCGGAGAUCGGCCUCCCCACGCGCGUCAUUCGCGCCCACGACACCUACAAAAAACGGACUCAAAGGAGUCCGAAUGAGAAGAAACAGUAAAAUAGUGCUUGUAUUUGAUCUUUUCUGGGCUAUAAAAGCCUUUGAAAAUCUGUAAAAAAUGGGACCGAAAUAAAUACAAAGGCACAGAGGAAAUUUUCUUUUUUUUGAAAUAAAAAGGUUUUCUUUUCUGUUUUACCAUUUUGUCGAUUAUCGUUCUUUCAUUUUUUUCUUCAUUUGUACAUAUAUAUAUUUGAUUUUUUUUAGUUUCGCUAUUUUUUUAUUUAUUUUUGCUUAAAAUAUAAAGAAAGGAAGAGAAAACCUACCUUUUUCGCCGGAAUCGCCGAGUUGGUGCCCCUCUCUGUCGCGAUCAGAGAUCGGGGCGUCGACGGAAGCCUUGGCGCGAGGCUGAGCGGUGGCGUAUGAGGGUUGAGGAAACCCUAAAAGGGUCUGGUUUCUCC